rnacentral:rRNA from 1 species
UACAGAGGUCUCAAGCGUUGUUCGGAUUCAUUGGGCGUAAAGGGCGCGUAGGCUGCGGGGCAAGUCGGGUGUGAAAUCUCAGAGCUCAACUCUGAAACUGCACUCGAUACUGCUUGCUUGAGGACUGGAGAGGAGAUUGGAAUUCACGGUGUAGCAGUGAAAUGCGUAGAUAUCGUGAGGAAGACCAGUGGCGAAGGCGGAUCUC